UACAGAGGGGGCAAGCGUUGUUCGGAAUUACUGGGCGUAAAGGGCGCGUAGGCGGCCCGCUAAGCCGAACGUGAAAUCCCCGAACUCAACUCGGGAACUGCGUCCGAUACUGGCGGGCUUGAAUCCGGGAGAGGGAUGUGGAAUUCCAGGUGUAGCGGUGAAAUGCGUAGAUAUCUGGAGGAACACCGGUGGCGAAGGCGGCAUCCUGGACCGGUAUUGACGCUGAGGCGCGAAAGCCAGGGGAGCAAACGGG
rnacentral:rRNA from 1 species